CUCCUGAGCUGCUGGGGUUACGGGCGUGUGCCACUACACCCGGCCUGUGCGACAACAUGGAUGAACCUUGAAGACAUUACACUCAGUAAAAGAAAACAGUGGUAAGAGGUGACGCCUAAGAGAUUCCAUUUACAUGUAGACAUGUCUGCAAUAGGCAAACCCAUACAGAUGGAAAGCAGAUUAGUGAUUUCCAGGGGCUACAGGAAGAAAGGACUGAAGAGUAACUAGUUAAUUGGUAUAAGGUUUCCAUUUGGGGCAACUGAGAAUGUUCCGGAAUGUUCUGGAGACAGUGGUUUAGCAUUGUCAACAUACUCAAUACCAGGGAAACAUACGCUUUACAAUGGUACAUUUUAUGUUUUGUGUAUUAUCUCCAAAUGUUUAAAAGAAAAAAAAUUAAAGUUAAUCAUUAAACUCUGGCCUUGGCAACAGGAUGUUUUGGUUUGGUAGGUAGUUAGCUAAGUAUUAAGUCCCUUUGUGGCAACUGUUGAUUAGAAAGAGCAAUAAUGGAUCACUGAGGCUGUGUAACAGACAUGCAUCUGUGGCUAGAUGGGAUUUUCGGCGCCAUGGAGUUGAGUCCUGAUCUUUAAUAUCCAAAAAAAAUGGUGUUGUGUCUAGCGCAGUGCUAGCUGGCUAAACCGAAAAGCUAAUUUAUUUUCCAUUACCUACGUCAUUGUAAUAACAACAAAAAGGUAUCAACAACAACAGAAAAACACCAUAACAACAAAAAGAUCUAAAUAUAGAAGGGAAAUCUUCCCAAUUAUCUGUAUAGUUCCUUCCCUUGGGUUUAGCUACCACCAUCUACAACCUGGUGUAUACCCUGUGAGACCUUUCUCUAUUCAUGUACAAACCUCUACAUAUGAAUGUGCCCAUCACAAAUGAAGUUUUUGUUAUUGCUUUUUUACAAAAAUGAACUCAUACUAUAUAUAUGUCUACAACUUGCUUUUUCCCUCUCAAUACCAUAUCAAAAAAUCUUUCCAUCUGAAUACCCACAGCCUUAUCUCUUUUCUUAAUGUCUACAAAACAUGGAUAGAUCGCCAUUGGUUUAACCAGCCCCUUCUUGACAGAUAAUUAUAUUCCUUCCAAGUUUUCUCCAUCAUAAACCAGGCUACAAGGAACGCCCUGUUCAUAUAUUGUUGCAUGAUCGUGGGAAUUUUUCUGCGGCAGAGAUUCCUAGAAGUGAGAUUGUUGGGUUGAAAUGAAAUUCCUUCUGUUCUGUGACUUUUUAGUAGCGAAUCAGUUGGGGACACAAACGUAUAUUGCCUCUGGGCUCAGGACAAAACAGCCAGAACUCAGAGCUUGCGAUGGGGCUUUGCUUAGCUCGGCACCCCCCUAGCCCCAGCCCCCCAGCAACCUGCAACUGUAGCUAUUUUCAUUCAUUUUAUAGGCUCAGUGUCUCCAGAUUGACUCCGGCAGAGGGAAAAGAAAUCAGGUCCCUUCUGUGUCAUUCUUCAAACAUUUAGAGGAAAUUGAUUUUCCACAUGGGCUCUAGCCAAGGGAGGGAUGCGCGGGCCCAGAAGUCGCUGCUACAGGCUAUGACUACCGGCACUUGCCACAAUGAGACUCAACCCAACUUGAGAUAUUUUAUUAGCAAGUGUAAUUCCUCAUCAGGCUAAUAUUGCAAAUUGCCAAAAGCAGCAGCAAUUCUAAAAUAGGAUUUCCUUCCUAAUCCCUUUUAAAGGGAAGACCUUGUGGAGCCUGGAAAUGUCUGAAGAAAGAAAGACUUUAUUCUCUAAGCAAGGAUAAAAGGCAGUGGGUCCAGGAAGCUGAGGCUUGCUUGCCUUACUCUCUGCGAUGACCUCUCCUUUUUCUCUCUACAGUCUGGGGAUUAAACCCAAGUCCUUGAGCAUGCCAGGCAAGUGCUCUACCACUGAGUCAUGUUCCCAGUCCCCUCCUCUUAUGUUGUUGGUAUUUUUUUUCUUUUUCCUUUUGUGUCCUGGGGAUUGAAGGCAGGGCCUCGCUCAUGGGCACUAAGCUAUAUCUCAGCCCUUUUUAUUUUUUAUUUUGAGAGAAGCUCUGGGUAAAUUGCCCAGACUGGCCUCAAACUUACAAUCCUCCCACUUCAGCCUCCCAAGGUGCUGGGAUUAUAGGCACAGCCACCACAGCCAGCUGCUCUUAUCUUUUUAGUGUGUUUCCUUGUGACAUCAGUUAGGAUGCUUUUACCUGCAAAGAACAGAAAUGCAGUCUCAAAGUGGCUUCUACAGGGCCAGGGUUGUGGCUCUGUGGUACCAUGUUAAAAAAAAUAAAUAAAUAAAAUAAAGGUAUUGUGUCCAACUACAACUAGGAAAAGAAAAAAAUAUGUCUCUUUCUAAAAAAAACCAAAAAGUGGCUUCAAUAAUGAUAAUGUCAUGGAAGCCUAAAGGUGAGGCACAUUUAGGGCUGGUUGACUCAAGAGCUCUACACAAGAAUUGGGAAUCCAGGGUCUUUUCCAAAAUAGUUAACAUAACUCACUGGCUCCAGAGCCAGAUCCUUUGAUAUUAAAUCUCAAGUCCACUGCUUUAGCUGUGUAACUUUGGCCAAAUUACUUGCCUUCUCUGAGUCUCCAUUUCUCAUCUAUCAAAAACAGGAUCAUAACAGUACACAACUUGCAGGUUUGUGAAUGCCAAAGCAAAGGUGAGCAAACUUUCUUCAUUAAGAGCCAGAUAGUAAAUAUUUGAGGCUUUGGGGGCCAUGUGUUCUCUGCCCCACAGCUUCACCUUGCCUUUAACAGUAUGAAAGCAGUCAUGGGCAGUAGGUAAAUGAAAGAGCAUGGCUGUAUUCCAAUAAAACUUUAUUUUAGACAUUGGAAGUUGAUUUUCAUACAGAUUUUCCUAUAUCAUGAAACAUUAUUCUUUUGAUUUUUAUUCAAGCAUUUAAAAAUGGAUAAACAUUCUGAGUUCAUGGGCCACGAAAGCUGGGAGGGCCAUGGUCCCGACUAAAGCAAAAGCAAAGGAUCCCAGCCUAAGAUGGUUCAACUUACCUAUUUUUGUUAUGGUUGUUUUUUUAUUCUUAUUUGGACUUAUGAUUUUUUUAACCUGCUGAUGGUGUGAAAGUAUACCCAUAUCACCUUUCUGGUUUUUACUUUCAGUAUUCAAUUAACGACAGGAGCUAUUCCGCCCUUAAUUAUAAAACAGACUUGGUGGGAGAUGGCUUUGCCCAGCUGUAGACUAAUUUAAGCAUUCCACGGGUGUUUAAGACAGGCUGGUCUAAGCUAUGCUCUUUGGUAGGUUGGGGUAUCAAAUGCAUUUUCAAGUCAUCAAUAUGUUUUUUUAAUUUUCAAUUUUUUUUAGUUGUAGAUGGACACAAUACCUUUAUUUUAUUUAUUCGUUUUGUUUUUUUAUAUAUAUAUGGUGCUGAGUAUCGAACCCAGUGCCUCAUGCGUGCUAGGCAAGCACUCCACCACUGAGCCACAACCCCAGGCCUCAAGUCAUCGAUAUCUUUAAUGCACGAUGGGUGUAUCUGAGGAGCAUCUGUAAUACACUUGGAAGAGCUUCUUCCCUGAUCUGGCAGCAAGGGGGCUGCAGCACUCUAAGGAACUACAUUCAGAGCAAGAAGUCGCACCACCUCUUUCAGGGACACUUGAUUUGCACCCUGGAGUUCUUCCCCAUCUGUCCGACAUGCCCCGCGCGUCUCAUUGGCCAGAACAAGCCACAUGACCUCUGAUUAACCAAUCACAAGAAGGGGCGGGAUCACCCAUGGACCAAUAGAGACCCGCCGCUGGGGCUCAGCGAGCUGGUUGCCUGGAGUCCCAGAGUGAACCCGGACUGAGCCAAACGGCUGCCCACGUGCGGGUUCUGUUGGAAGGGAAGCUGGGACACGCAUCUGCGGGGCGGGUCGUGCCCACUCUGUCAGGUGCUCUUGAAUUCGUCUCAGGCAGGUCUGCUAAUCCAGAGUCUGUGUCGUCUUAUAAUGAGAGCAAGCCGCGAAGCCUCGGGCUGGAGCACCUGGACCCUGCUGCCCCUCGGUCAACCUCGUGACGGUCCUUGGAGGGUGAGGACAUCUUUACAUCACUUCCGGCCUUCACUGGACUUUCACAGUUGCUGAGACGAGAAGCGGCUGGUCCAAGGGCACAUAGUGGAGCCCCUGAACCUCGAAGUCUGACCUCCACCCACCUCCUGGUUGCAUUGGAAGCCACCGUGGCUGCAGCUGCACCCUGGGAAGAGUCGGUGGCCCAGAAGGUGGAGGUGAAAGGACAACCACGAAGAUGCUGCCCAGAGUAAACACCCAAAGCCUUCGAACCUGUGCUGUGGAUGAAAACAUCUAGGCACGUUCACGAUUUGCAUUGGAAUAUCCACAGUGUUCACAUACAGUCGUGUACUCCACCUUGAGGCUGGGUCCACCAGGGACCAGAUGACACUCUAGUCCAUAGAGUCCAGCAGCCACGUAGUAGGCUACACCAUCAACGUUUGUUGAAGAACAGUGUUUGGCGUCCACACAGUGACUGUCACUUAACCAUACGUUUCUCAGAACAUAUGCCCGUCAUUAAGUGACAUGAAAUCUCAAGAACGAUAAAAUAAUAGCAAUAAUUAUUCUGAUGAAAUACAGAUGUGCCUUUCAUUCUGAUGAAAGAGAAACUUAACUGCC